rnacentral:rRNA from 1 species
AAGUCAAAAAUGCCAUGCCGAACUAGAGAAAUUUGUUCCCUUCGGGGACAGAAUGACAGGUGGUGCAUGGUUGUCGUCAGCUCGUGUCGUGAGAUGUUGGGUUAAGUCCCGCAACGAGCGCAACCCUUAUUAUUAGUUGCCAGCAUUAAGUUGGGCACUCUAGUGAGACUGCCGGUGACAAACCGGAGGAAGGUGGGGACGACAUCAAAUCAUCAUGCCCCUUAUGACCUGGGCUACACACGUGCUACAAUGGAUGGUACAACGAGUCGCGAGACCGCGAGGGUAAGCUAAUCUCUUAAAACAUUUCUCACUUCGGAUUGUAGGCUGCAACUCGCCUACACGAAAUCGGAAUCGCUAGUAAUCGCGGAUCACAACGCCGCGGUGAAUACGUUCCCGGGUCUUGUACACACCGAGA